CUAAGCCGCCGGGCCCACAGGCGCCCUCCCGCACGCGUUCUUCACCUUUCUCUUGCAGCUUCUCCUCCGACAUGUAGUCCGGCAAUGGGGCUAGAGGGCCGGGCACCGGGUUACCCGGCCCUCGGUAAGGAAAUACUCCAGCCAUUCCCGGAGAGUCUGGGGGACAGAGAAAGAAAAAAUGUAACGAGAAGCGGCGCUCGAGCCCAGCAGGAACGCGCCGACACCGCGGUCUGCAGUCCCGCUGUGCUCAGAGUACGUCCAGUCCGGCCCAUCCCGACGUCCCGGCCGUCCAGCCCGACCCCACACGCCUCCCGCGGCCCAGCCCUUGAAGCCCACCACGCACCCCCACAGGCCCUCACACAGACGGCCGCUUUCUUCGCAGCGCAAUGGCGGCACUCCUACGUCUGUCGCGCGUUCCCAACGCCGGGAAUGAUUACAUUAUGGAGUAUAUAGUGGACACCUUAUAAAUGCUUCUCGUUUCUUUGAGGCUCUGCCUAUGUCUUGCUGCCUGAAUUGCGCUGAUAUCCUGCCAUCCUUGUUCCACUUUCUAUGUCUUAUUCCAUCCCAACAACUUUAAAUCUUAGUCAACAGGCUCCACGACCAACAUGGGGCUCAAACUCAGGAUCCUGAGAGUGUCACAUGCUGUGCUGAAUGAGCCCGACAGGUUCUCCUGUAUCACUAUUUUGGAUCUUUUGCUUUUAGAGGUUAUUUGAAAAUGGAGGUCCAACUCUCUCCCUAACCUGCCAUAUAUAUGUAUAUCUUUUCCACUACCCCAUUCUCCCAAUCUGGUUAUAUAACAAUUUUGUCAAGAUUAAUGAGCAAUGUUAAUGUAAUUGUGCAUGCAGUAAAAACAGCUAGCCCUUAUACUCUGUGUUAG